UGCACCCUGAGAAUGAUCUGGAAGAAGUUGGAAAAACAGAAAACCAUAUCAUCGACUGCCUGGUAGCUAUGGUUGUCAAACUUUCCGAAGUCACAUUCAGACCUCUGUUUUUCAAGCUGUUUGAUUGGGCCAAGACAGAGGACGCCCCAAAGGAUAGACUGUUGACGUUUUACAACUUGGCGGAUUGCAUUGCCGCAAAACUGAAAGGGCUCUUUACUCUGUUCGCCGGCCACUUGGUGAAGCCUUUUGCUGACACCUUGAACCAGGUGAACAUCUCCAAAACAGGUUGGUAGCUGACUCCAGCGCGUUGACGCCUUGCUCUGUGUGCCUUGCACAAGCUCGGGAAGUACAGUAAGUCUAAAGGGUGCGUGUUUCGUGCUGUAGUCGGCGGUCAGGCCCUGAAGUGUCUGCUUUCGCGUCAUGAAAAGGGUCAUGAGGUAACUGACAGGAGGAAUCACUUACCCGAGAGCCCACCCACGGUGCCACCCUCAUCCUGAGCUUGCUUCUAGAUGGAGGAGGAAAUGCCCUCUUGAUUGUAGCUCUGUCAAUAGUGAUUUGAAUGUAAACGUUGGAGAUUCAAUUGUGACACUGUUUUCAUUUU